rnacentral:rRNA from 1 species
UACAGAGGUCUCAAGCGUUGUUCGGAUUCAUUGGGCGUAAAGGGUGCGUAGGCGGCGCGGUAAGUCGGGUGUGAAAUCUCGGGGCUUAACUCCGAAACUGCAUUCGAUACUGCCGUGCUUGAGGACUGGAGAGGAGACUGGAAUUCAUGGUGUAGCAGUGAAAUGCGUAGAGAUCAUGAGGAAGACCAGUGGCGAAGGCGGGUCUCCGGACAGUUCCUGACACUGAGACACGAAGGCCAGGGGAGCAAACGGG